AGGGAGGAUGAAGUAACCCUGGGUGCGAACCUAACCAUCACAAACCUGAUCCAGCUGUUUGAAGCCAGCACCGACCCCCACCUCCCCUACACCCACAGUCUCGCCAAGCACCUCAAGUACGUGGCCUCCUCUGGGGUCAGAAAUCUGGCGUGCUGGGCAGGUAACUUGAUGUUGAAACAUCAAUUUCCAGAUUUCCCAUCGGAUAUCUUCACCAUGCUAGAGACGGUCGAGGCUAAGCUAUGUAUAGCUAACUACAAGGGGAAAGAAUCGCUUCACAGUUUGCCAGAGUUCCUGUCCUUGGAUAUGUCAGACAAAGUUAUCGUGUCGGUGACACUUCCCAAGUACACAGCCGCUGACGUCAUUGUACGAACUUUCAAGACUUCGCAAAGA